rnacentral:lncRNA from 1 species
GUCUACAAUUAACUAAUAGGUAUAGCAUUAGCGUUUUUCUAAUCAAAAUCUAUUGUUCUGCAGAGGCUCAGAGCUGUUGUUUUAACUGACACUGGCUUGCCCUUCCAGGAAGCCUGGGGAGAGAGCGACGAGCGAGAGCAGGGGUCUCCAGUUUGAAGAGUGUGCAGACAUCACAGUACAUUGCCUAAGGAAAAGGUUGAAGAGAAGACUUGGUACUCAUUACCGGAUUGUCUCCUGACAGCCCAGAAUACUCCCCUAGACUCUCCUCCUGAGCGGUAAGGAAUCUAUUUUGCAUCCUCGAGGGUCUUCCUGGAUCAGGUAAGGUGCCGCCUUAGAAGAUAAUGAAAACUCGGGGUCUACAAGCUCUUAACAUGGAGUCCUUCGCACUAGGCCCUCGAAUCUCUCUAUACUCCAUUCAGUCUUUUGAAGGUCGCUUCCAUUCUGCAAACAUUGGCUGCUUGAUGGUGGGAUUUUCUAUUCCUCUGUUUACUCUCUUUCGCAUUAAGGCACUCAAUACUAUGCUUCAAGAGGUGACUGGAGGAGCCAUUUGGACUCCUACCAUGUAACCUACCAUGGAGUAACCGUGUAACUACUGUGUUUGGUCAAUCACAGGAACAGUUCCAUCUAAACUGAAAAAAAAAAACUAUCCCAUGCUUAAACUAUUCUUCCCAAGAAGCAAAGAAAGAUAAAUUAUGAUUAUUUUCAUGGAUGGCCUACUAAUAUAUGGCACUGAGCAUGUAUACAAAGUCUGUGGCUAAACUGAGGUGGGACAGGCGUGGAUUAGGUCCCUACCCAUUUCAGUGGUAAAUCUUCCACAGUGUUCUGGGCCUGGUUGUUCUUGAACCUAAAGCUCCCUGACUUAUAGACCUCCCAGUGGGUUGCUAGCUAGGGGUGAGUAGGGGCAGCUGUGCUUCUGGACCCCCACUCUGGGUCUCUGACAAGUCAUAGCUCUCCUACCUGUGCUAUGUUGCCAGCAAGCUGUACUGGGAAGUGGUUAG